rnacentral:rRNA from 1 species
GAUUCAUCGGUAUGGGAUGGGGUCGCGUCCUAUCAGCUUGAUGGCGGGGUAACGGCCCACCAUGGCUUCGACGGGUAGCCGGCCUGAGAGGGCGACCGGCCACAUUGGGACUGAGAUACGGCCCAGACUCCUACGGGAGGCAGCAGUGGGGAAUAUUGCACAAUGGGCGCAAGCCUGAUGCAGCGACGCCGCGUGCGGGAUGACGGCCUUCGGGUUGUAAACCGCUUUUGACUGGGAGCAAGCCCUUCGGGGUGAGUGUACCUUUCGAAUAAGCACCGGCUAACUACGUGCCAGCAGCCGCGGUAAUACGUAGGGUGCAAGCGUUAUCCGGAAUUAUUGGGCGUAAAGGGCUCGUAGGCGGUUCGUCGCGUCCGGUGUGAAAGUCCAUCGCUUAACGGUGGAUCCGCGCCGGG